CAGUAGCCGCGGGAAUACGAAGGGGGCUAGCGUUGUUCGGAUUUACUGGGCGUAAAGGGCGCGUAGGCGGGCUGAUAAGUCGGGGGUGAAAUCCCAAGGCUCAACCUUGGAACUGCCUUUGAUACUGUUGGUCUUGAGUCCGGGAGAGGUGAGUGGAACUGCGAGUGUAGAGGUGAAAUUCGUAGAUAUUCGCAAGAACACCAGUGGCGAAGGCGGCUCACUGGCCCGGAACUGACGCUGAGGCGCGAAAGCGUGGGGAGCAAACAGGAUUAGAUACCCGCGUAGUCCCUGUCUCUUAUAC
rnacentral:rRNA from 1 species